GACAGAGGGUGCAAGCGUUGUUCGGAAUUAUUGGGCGUAAAGGGCGCGUAGGCGGCUUGGCAAGUCGAAUGUGAAAGCCCAGGGCUCAACCCUGGAAGUGCAUCCGAAACUAUCAAACUAGAGUCCCGGAGAGGGUGGUGGAAUUCCCAGUGUAGAGGUGAAAUUCGUAGAUAUUGGGAGGAACACCGGUGGCGAAGGCGACCGCCUGGACGGAGACUGACGCUGAGGCGCGAGAGCGUGGGGAGCAAACAGG
rnacentral:rRNA from 1 species